GGACAGACUAAUGCAGACCCUCUAUAAAAUAUAUGGAACAAUUAUUGUACUCUGAAAGUUUAACUGAAUAAAAAAAAAAGAUAUUUAAGUAUUUUUAUAUUUAACACUCUCUCCCAUAUUUGGGCUCGAGAUUUUUUGUUAGGUCCUUAAGGUGGACUUGAAUUAAAUAGGAAAAAUUAAUAAUUCUAGGAACUUGAAAUGACUCGAACUCAGAGCUUUCUAUUCUGAUACCAUAUAAAAUAAUGCGAAAUAAUCGUUAUUCUUUAAAAGCUAAAAUUUAUAGAGAACGAUGUUUAAAUAUUUUUAUAUUUAAAGCCCUCAAUUAGCAGUCAAUAUGAUUAAGCACUUGAUGUCCCAGUGGAGGGAUUCCUUUUGGCUA
rnacentral:lncRNA from 1 species